rnacentral:rRNA from 1 species
UACGGAGGGUGCAAGCAUUAAUCGGAUUUAUUGGGCGUAAAGAGCGCGUAGGCGACUAGGUAAGUCAGAUGUGAAAUUUCAAAGCUCACCUUUGAAGCUGCAUUUGAAACUAUCUGGAUUGAGGAUAGGCGGAGAAAACGGAAUUCCACAAGUAGCGGUGAAAUGCGUAGAUAUGUGGAAGAACACCAGUGGCGAAGGCGGUUUUCUAGCUUAAACCUGACGCUGAGGCGCGAAAGCAAGGGGAGCAAACAGGAUUAGAUACCCGAGUA